rnacentral:rRNA from 2 species
AAACUUUCAACAACGGAUCUCUUGGUUCUGGCAUCGAUGAAGAACGCAGCGAAAUGCGAUAAGUGAUGUGAAUUGCAGAAUUCAGUGAAUCAUCGAAUCUUUGAACGCACCUUGCGCCCACCGGACACUCCGGUGGGCAUGCCUGUUCGAGCGUCAUU